rnacentral:rRNA from 1 species
UACGGGGGGAGCAAACGUUGUUCGGAAUCAUUGGGCGUAAAGGGCGCGUAGGUGGUUCUGUAUGUCUACCGUGAAAGCGUACGGCUCAACCGUAUUUUGUCGGUGGAAACUGCAGGACUUGAGGCUGGGAGGGGCUGGUGGAAUUCCCUGUGUAGCGGUGAAAUGCGUAGAGAUGGGGGAGAACACUCGUGGCGAAGGCGGCCAGCUAGACCAGUUCUGACACUGAGGCGCGACAGCGUGGGGAGCAAACAGG